rnacentral:tRNA from 1 species
CGGAGGUUAGCUCAGCCAGGAAGAGCAGGGCGUUUGGUACGCCCAGGCCGCAAGUUCGAUUCUUGCACCUCCGA